CCUACGGGCGGCAGCAGUGAGGAAUAUUGGUCAAUGGACGAGAGUCUGAACCAGCCAAGUAGCGUGAAGGAUGACUGCCCUAUGGGUUGUAAACUUCUUUUAUAUGGGAAUAAAAUGUUCCACGUGUGGGAUUUUGUAUGUACCAUAUGAAUAAGGAUCGGCUAACUCCGUGCCAGCAGCCGCGGUAAUACGGAGGAUCCGAGCGUUAUCCGGAUUUAUUGGGUUUAAAGGGAGCGUAGGUGGAUUGUUAAGUCAGUUGUGAAAGUUUGCGGCUCAACCGUAAAAUUGCAGUUGAAACUGGCAGUCUUGAGUACAGUAGAGGUGGGCGGAAUUCGUGGUGUAGCGGUGAAAUGCUUAGAUAUCACGAAGAACUCCGAUUGCGAAGGCAGUUCACUGGACUGAAACUGACACUGAGGCUCGAAAGUGUGGGUAUCAAACAGGAUUAGAUACCCCAGUAGUC
rnacentral:rRNA from 1 species